AGACAUCCUUAUGGGGCAAGAUUUGCUUCAGUGUGGCUUUGGUGCUCACUGAGUCUGCCCCCUGAGUGUGUCCCU
rnacentral:pre_miRNA from 1 species